AUCAGCUUGGAGUGGGAGAAACUAUGAGUCACUUGGUUGUUUUCAGUAAGUGGCAGGGAGUUUAAAAAGAGAACGGAUAGCUACAUUCCAAAUCGCAAAAAAUGUAAAAAAUCAUAUGGGCAUGAAUAACAUUCAGCCACAAAUAUUUAUGAAGCUUCUGCUGUGUGCCAGACAAAAUGGCUGGGUAUUAGGACUAUGACAGUGAAGAUAACACAGCCCUUGCUCUCAAGGAUUUACAGUUGAUGAGAAAGGCAGACAAAUCCAGGAGGCAUUAUAAUCCACCAUGACAGCUGCUGAGCUCUUCUGUGGGAAUUUGCAGCAGUGGCACCCACAUAUGUGGGCAUUUGGAGAAAGUGGGGAAAGCUUCCAGGAGGAAAUGAUGUCUUAACUGGGACAGAAGCAAGAAGAGUCAGCCAGCUUGGAUCUCCUGACCUUGGCCUGGACCUGGAUCUGGGAGGCUGACUCUAUUGACCAUGGGGAAGGAGCUAACAGGAUUGAACCUCAGGACCGUCCUCUGCAAAAUGAGGAAUUUAGGCUAGCACAGUGGUUCUCAAAGUGUGGUCCCCAGACCAGCGACCUCAGCAUCGCCCUGGAACUAGUUAGAAAUGCACAUUCUCUGGUCCCAACCCAGACCUACUGAACCAGUGCCUCUGGGAGUGGAUCCCAGAAAUCUGUGUUUUAACACACGUGCUAUCUAGGAGGUUCUGAUGCAGGCCAAAGUUCGAAAACCGCUGAACUGGAAGAUCUCUAAAAUUCCUCCUAGGAGAUAAACCUUUAAGACUUGCUAUAAGAAUUAAGUGCCAUGAUUAUGGUGCAUAUUAUUUAUGAAACUUGUUCAAUGUGCCCUGCCCUUCCUAUUCAUUAUCUCUACAACCUCCUUCUAAAAUAAGUAUCAAUUAAAAGUAUUUUCCAAAUGAGCAAAAGGAGGCCCGGAGAGGUUAAAUAAUUCAUCAGGAGACACGCAGCUGGAGAUGAACAGGAGGAGGAUUUGAAUGGGAAGCCAUCUCAGUGUGCUCUCUCUACUACCUCCCAUGAGCAAACACAGUGACAAGUGAACUCAAUGAAUAUCAUUUUCCGGUGAUUCUGUGACCUUUGAGUACCUGCAUCCUCCUACCUUAACCAACUUUGCCAGCCUCCUUCACUGCCCUACCUGAUCGACAGUAAUUUCCAGCUCUCUUCCUUCCCCCAUGCUCAGCCCAACACCCAGCCCUGGCUUUCUCACCUUCCUGGGACCCCCUGCGUUCCACGGUAGUGAACAGAGACACACGACAGCCAUUCCGUGGAUCUACAGUGACUGUUCUCCUGGACACAGAGCCAACGUGGCUACUGAAGGAAAGAGGCCAGUCCUAAGUUCAGGAUCUGUGACGGCCUGGAAAAUGUACUCUGUCCCCCCACAACCUCCCGCUACAACCUCCCCCUAAAAGAAAAACUUUCUACAGGCCAGGGUCAAAGGAACCUAAUGUGAAAAUGUUUCAGUCUUUUGAUGAAGUAUUCCAGAACACAGAACUCCUUAUCAUACAGAACAUCAAGUUCCUUUAAGAUAUGGGUUGCUAUCUCCAAUUCAUUUUGGGAAGAGGCUACCUUCAUCCCCAAACAGGAACUGCUGCAAGGCCCGCAGCAGCCAUGGGUGAGUGGCUCUGGAGAUGGGGUAAGUGGCCUACGCACCCCAGAGGAACAGCUGGCAGCCUAGUCUUCGGGCAGCAGCUCCACUCAGCCCUGGGGAAUGACAGAUACAGGUGUGUUCCCUCAGACAACCAGUUAUGCCAGUGAAGUGCCCUAAACUAGAGAUAGCUGGGGCGCUGUCAGCCACCUUAACAGUGAGAAGAAGCAACAGGAUGAAGUGGAAACAGCGUCACACAGAUGGAGCCUCGAAUCCCAGCAUGCUAGCCAUGUGUCAUCUUCAUAGUCUUCCUAACGUCUGUGGCCUCAGAUGCCACAUCAGUAAAUGGCACACCAUAUGUGAUUUAGGCUAAGGGCCUGAGUGUAAUAGUUGCUUAGGAAUUAUAGCCCUUCUUAAAUAAAUGGAGAAACAGUCCAUGUUCAUGGAUUGGAAGCCUCAAUGUUAUUAAGAUGGCAAAUCUCCCCAGAGUGACCUGUAGAUGCAACACAAUCCCUAUCAAAAUCCCAGCAGGCUUUUCACUCCUUUUUAAUAAGGACACCGGUCAUAUUGUAUUAAGGUCCAUCCUAAUGACCUCAUCUUAACUCAGCUACAUCUGCAAACACCUUAAUCCAAAUAUGACAUUCUGAGGUACUGGGAUUAGGGCUUCAAAAUAUCUUUUUGGGGGAACACAAGUCAACCCAUAACAGAUAAUUAACACAAAUACAUGGAAAACUAUCCCAUAUUCAUGGAUUGGAAGUACUAAUAGUAUUUAAAUGUCCAUAUUACCCAGAGGUCUAGAGAUUCAAUGCAAUCCCUAUCAAAAUACCCAUAAUGUUCUUCACAGAAGUGGGAGUAAACAAUCUUAAAAUUCAUGUGGAAAUGCAAAAGACCCUGGAUAGCCAAAGCAAUCGAGUAAAAGGAACAAAGCUGGAGGUCUCACCACAACACAUGGUUAAGGAGUUAAAAUGGGACAUUUGAAACUUUAUAUUACUACAGAGUUUAAUGCAAGAUUCAUGCAGAUUUUUAAAAGAUAAACCACGACACGUCACAGGAAUAUCUAGCUUUUGAUAUGUCCCCAUGCCUUCCACAGGUACCCUCCUACAGCUCCCCUCCACUGUCCCCUCCCUAAGGGGGUACAAUUCAGCUCUUUUGCCCUAAAGAGCAUUUGGAUGGAAAGUUUGAGAUGUCCUAACA
rnacentral:lncRNA from 1 species